rnacentral:lncRNA from 1 species
UUAUUAUUGUUUUUUUAAAGGAAGCUUUCACACUGGCCAGAAUUGGAUCACAGGUCCUGAGCAGGCUGGGAGAGCAAAGAAGCAAAUAGCAUCAAGAUGUGACAACAGGGAUGAUGAGGGGUGCCCCAGGUGACCCCAAAUCUCAAUGUGUCGGCUGGCAGCCCAGGGGGUCACCAUGGCCGCCUGGGCUGGUCAGAGCACUACACGCACACCCAGCCAGGUGCCGUGCCGGGGGCUGCUGAGCACCACAGUAGGAAAGCAUUUUAGUCCUGGCGGGGGCGGGGGGGGGUGUUAAUCAUCUGAACCCUUCACUGGACACGCUAAGAUUUUUGAUGUGCUUCCUGUUAGCCUAAGGGAAGAGCGCAGGGGUGUGCACCUACCGCAUAAAGCGGGUGCCUUUUGGCACUGAUCUCAUCUCUAGGAUCUCGGUUUGAAUCAAUGCAAAACCAAGGAAAUACUGUUGGGCAUGAACACAGAAACCAGAUACUAAGGUACAGUCAUGACGCACUGGGACCUCCUGGCCUCUGGCUCCAGGAGCUGGACCUGUGGGUGACAGGACACAGCCCAGCGGGAAGUGCAUGGAUUGUGGGGAGCACCUUGGUCUUCUGCUGUCAGCCUGGAGCUGUCUCCAGUAGGCGGCCACACAGGAAGUGCUCGCACAGACUCGCUUAUCAGCUCAGCCUUGCCGUGGGGGCCAAGGUCUGGUCCACCUGGUGAUAGGGAGAGCCCGAGGGAGGGAGCAGAAGGUGAGUACGGUGCACCUGUGUUGUUUGCGUGGGGCUCCCCGGGACACUGUGCUCCUGCAGGGUUGGCGGGGACAGGCCUGGCCCAGGGACAGGAGGGAGGGGGACGGGGCAGAGGAGCUGGGCAGGCGGAGGAGGCUUUUGCAUCUGGGAUCUCUGUGCACUGUCAGGCCUUGGGAAACUGAACUUCCCCCUCCACCCAGAGGAGGAUGAUUGUCACUGGUCACUCCACCUCUAACUACCCCCUCUGUUAUCAGGCUGUUAAUAUUAAUUAACAACAGUUGCUAAGGUUGGCAGUGCAAGGUGUGUCCCAGGAGCUGGCCUGGUCCCAGGAGGGGGCCGGGCACAGAGGGGCUCUGAGGCUGGGCGGUCUGCACGUGGGCGGGGUGGGAGCGUGGGGGCGUGGAGGGCCAGUUCUCGCUUCAGGAAGUAGGUGAAGGGGAGACCCCUCCCCCACCGCAUGUCACCAGGAGGCUCAUUGAGAGGGUGAGACAAAGCCAGGACAAUGUCACCAGGAGGCUCAUCAAGAGGGUGAGACAAAGCCAGGACAGAGAAGGUGGAUCAUUAACUAGCUGGCAGCCGUGGGAGGUGUGGGGCUCAGCCCCAUUGGUCCCAGACAAGUCAGGCCAGGCUGUCCCUCAUGGGGAGGCUGCCUUGCUGCGCACCCCCAGUUUAAGUACAUGAGCUGCCUAGGCACGCACUCUGUGUCCCCAAGAGCCAGAGCUUAGCUGUCCCCGGCUGUCCCUGUGGCCUGGGCCCACUGCCCU